CAUGAAGUACUCGCUUCCCUAAAGGAGAAGACAUGAGGAGGAGAAAGAGGAGAGACCAGAAGCACCAAAGCGGUUUGCUGCUCUUGACUGAAUUAGACACUGAUUCCUGCAUGAUUGGCUGCCUUCAUGGAGAAACAAGAGGGUAAAUCCUACCACAAGUGG